AGACUUGAAACCAGACCCGCGCAUCCGUAUGUUCAAGGGGUCUCUUCGGGGACUAUGGACAUAAACGCGCUCGUAAUAAGCGGAUCGGACCCGGGGGCGGUACCCGGCGACUCCACCAACCACCGUUCAUUUGGCGGCUUUGGGGUCGAA
rnacentral:tmRNA from 1 species